UACGUAGGGGGCAAGCGUUAUCCGGAAUUACUGGGUGUAAAGGGUGAGUAGGCGGCAUGGUAAGCCAGAUGUGAAAGCCUUGGGCUUAACCCGAGGAUUGCAUUUGGAACUAUCAAGCUAGAGUACAAGAGAGGAAAGCGGAAUUCCUAGUGUAGCGGUGAAAUGCGUAGAUAUUAGGAAGAACACCAGUGGCGAAGGCGGCUUUCUGGACUGAAACUGACGCUGAGGCACGAAAGCGUGGGGAGCGAACAGG
rnacentral:rRNA from 1 species